rnacentral:lncRNA from 1 species
UGAUUGAUAAAGACAUCUUGCAUUUUUUUAAGACUGAUAAUUUUUCUUGAAAUGCUUAUUCUUUUUUCUUUUUAGUUCUUCUGAAAUCCCUCAGUUCCGGCUGCCAUAUGAUGUUGUGAAUUUUGAGAUUGAGCUUAUGAAGGACCUUGGAGUGAAGAUAAUUUUUGGUAAAAGCCUUUCAGUGAAUGAAAUGACUCUUGGCACUUUGAAAGAAGAACGCUACAAAGCUGCUUUCAUUGAAUAGGUGAGUAGCUUACUUUCGUAUUUACAUUUAUAUUUUUUAUUAUUUUUCACUUC